GAUGUAGGAGGGUAAUGUACUGUAAUCCUGGUCAGGAACACAGCACUUAGUGGUGAACAACCAGCCCUGGAGGAAGUGGCAACUGGCAGGCUGUCUGUGUCGGAAACAUGGCCACAGGGCCUCACCUUCUGCCACUUUGUGCACUUGAGCUGCUUUGGCUACUGUUGCCACGCAGCCAGGAAGAUGUGUUGCAGGAGGCUGACAUGAAGUGAAAACCAGGGUUAGGGAGGCGAGAUCAGAUCUCUCUUAUCUAAAGUCCCCGGAGCGUCGAGUCCAUCUGUCUCUGUGGCAGCAGCCCACCCCCUUGGUCAUCUUCGCCCUGCUGUGACUCCUUAGUGGUGGAGUCAGCUGAGGGCCUCUCUGACGUGUUCUGGGGGCAGAAAUAGCAGAAGAGAUGUCAUUUAGAUUGCGGUGUCCUUCCUGGUCGUGACAGGAGGUCAUCGCGGGGCUCCCAGGGCCAUCAGCCCAGUGAGGAGCCGUCAAGAAGACCCAGUCCUCUGUCCUAAAACCAGAGCUCUUCGUCUUAGACAUCUACGGUAGUCAGCAUCUCCCGCCUGUUGAGUCUGAAAAAAUAUUUGACUGCUUUGUGAAUUUCCUCACUGUUGACAUUACUUAAAGGCCAGCACCUCUUUCUGGCCUUUACCAAUACACAAUUACAAUGGUUACUAAAGUAAUGCACAUUUUCUAAAAAUAGAAAAUGUACAAUGUGAUAGUAGUCUCACGAAGGCUGAGUCUCUGUCAGUGCCUUCAAGUGGAUCAAGAUGACCUAUUUGCCACUUAAUUUGAUCAUUUUAGUUUGCACUUCUCUUUCUGUUUGUGUUCAGCAGACGAAUCACAUACAGUACAAUGUCUGAUUCUAGGUGAAACAGGGACACCUAGUGGCUAUCUCCUGACAUUAUGUGGGCUGAGCUGUAGUUCAUCUGUAUUUCCCCUGGAGAUGUCAUGCAGCAUUUCAAAGACAAGAAUUGGGGUCUCCUGGUCAUUGUUCUACCCAGGAUCUCAGUUACCUUGUUGGUCUUGUUAUGUCAUUAAAU